UACGGGGGGGGCAAGCGUUGUUCGGAAUUACUGGGCGUAAAGCGUGCGCAGGCGGUUCGCCAAGUCAGGUGUGAAAUCCCCGGGCUUAACCUGGGAAUUGCGCUUGAAACUAGCGGGCUUGAGUGUGGCAGAGGGGGGUGGAAUUCCACGUGUAGCAGUGAAAUGCGUAGAGAUGUGGAGGAACACCGAUGGCGAAGGCAGCCCCCUGGGUCAACACUGACGCUCAUGCACGGAAGCGUGGGGAGCAAACAGG
rnacentral:rRNA from 1 species